CCUCCACGUGGUGAGACCUGGGUCGGUAUUACUUGCAAUUAUUGGAAUUUAUAUCUAGAUUAUAUAAUGCAAGUACUACCGGGCGAAUGGCUGCAUAAUUCAGUGCGUUUCCCAAAUCUUUUCUUUCUGAUUCUAAUUAAACAUUAAAUUAUGUUUUGCGAUGAUGAUCAUACAUGAAUGGAUAAAUAGAUAAGAUGUAGUAAAGUUCUGAAAUAAUUUCUUGAAGAAACGCAUUGAAAAAUUCUAAUAGUAUUUCUUUAUUGCAUUUCUAAUUCAUAUUUUUUCUAUACCUGUUGCUGAAGUCACAUGCGCUACGAGUAAAAGUUGGUGAACAGUUUUAAUCGAUAAGUUAUCCAUAGAGAGAGAAAGGGAAUAAAUCUAAAGGAGGAUGAUAAAAAAGUCAUUCGUUUGGUUCGAGGCGCCAUCGGUAGACAUCUUUAGAAUUAUUACGUAUUCGUAAGAACCAUUUUUUGUUAUGCAUUGUGUAUGUAUAUUAUAUUUCCUUGCUUGACUCUCGUCGUAAAUUUAUAAUUGCCAAUAUUCGAAAUGUUUUUCAUAUUAGCGAUCGAGCCGAGAGACGAGAAGGUAAACGAGAUCGUUCUCGAUAUGAACAAAUGAAACGAGUAUAAGACGCGUUACGUUAGUUAGAAAACCGGAAGAGAAACAAUGAACGAUUAGUAUGGAAAUCGUUUAGAGGCAAUAUAAAUGAGUAUGGACGGAUACAGUGUGCGAACAACCACUUGGCGUCGAGUACAAAGCCAAGUUCUUCGCUCGUUCUUAGACUUCCAUAACGACGUUUCUUCGACAAGGAUAAAAGUAUGUCAAUGUCCAUUUAUAAUCCUAAAAGAACAACUUGAUAUUCCCGCUUAAAAGUAGAUAGCUAUGAUAUCCGUAUAUUCGAGAUUACGGUGGUACGGGGUGAUUUGAACGCUCACAAUGCCAGGAAUCGAUGUCGUACCUGAUACACAUAUAAAUCUACAUACAUACAUAUAUAUAUAUAUAAUAUAUGUGUGUGUAUGAUGUAUAUAUGUAUGUACGUACGCAACGUGUUCGAAAGUGCGACUUUGCAGGGUCACGUUACAGAAUACAUCUGCGACAAUCAGAAUGCAUGUUACGUUAGACAGUUCGAUAAGAAAAUGACGAUCCUCGCUGCUGUAAUUUACACAUCAUAAAUUUGAAUAUUUAGCGAUGUGAUUUUUUUAGUCGAUAAGCGAGUUCGUGAAUCUGUAUUAAACAUUAUCACUGAUAUUAAAAAGUAUCCAAACUUGCAUCAGGGUUGUUUAUGAUUAUUCUGAGAAUAUGAAUAAUUUUCAACGUGUGGAAAGUGAUGGUGAAUAGGGUUGUUAGCAGCAGCGGAUUUAAUUUUCGAGGUGUCCGAGGUGUUAUCAAUUUUUGGAUUCUCAUUAUAAUAAAUGUAUGUAUGUACAAUAUAUAUUUUUUCGAUUCAAUUGUUCAUGCAAAUGAUGAAAUGGGGAUUAUAUUUCAUUUAGUGAUGUAAUGAAGUGGAUACUCUUCAUUAUAGUCCCACAUUUGAUUACAGUCGCAAAUAUAGAAAUAAAAAUUAUAUAUCGGUCAUUGGAUAAUAAAUUAGACAUAUUAUAUGAUAUAAAUUCAUAUUGUUGUAUAGGAGCUUCUAUCUUAUGGGGCCAGAAACAAUUACCUUCACUACUUGUUUGUAAAUCCGCUACUGCUUGUUAUUAUGACUCAUUUUAAAAUCCUGUAAAUACAUAACAUUUUCUCUUUGUUA